AGUCACUGACAUUAGAUACCCCUGUAGUCCAGGGUGUAAACGCUGCAGACUUGGUGUUGGGAACCCUUCGGGGGUGCUCAGUGCCGGAGAGAAGUUGUUAAGUCUGCUACUUGGGGAGUACGUCCGGCAAGGAUGAAACUUAAAGGAAUUGGCGGGGGAGCACCGCAACGGGAGGAGCGUGCGGUUUAAUUGGAUUCAACGCCGAAAAACUCACCAGCAGCGACUGUUACAUGAAAGUCAGGUUGAUGACCUUACUAGAUUUUCAG
rnacentral:rRNA from 1 species